rnacentral:rRNA from 1 species
AGGAUGAACGCUGGCGGUGUGCCUAAUACAUGCAAGUCGAACGGGAUCUUCGGAUCUAGUGGCGGACGGGUGAGUAACACGUUGGUACCUACCCCUAAGUGGGGAAUAACUGCCCGAAAGGGUGGCUAAUACCGCAUAAUCCCGCAAGGGUAAAGCAGUAAUGCGCUUAGGGAGGGGCCUGCGUCUGAUUAGCUAGUUGGUAGGGUAAUGGCCUACCAAGGCGACGAUCAGUAGCUGGAUCGAGAGGUUGACCAGCCACACUGGGACUGAGAUACGGCCCAGACUCCUACGGGAGGCAGCAGUAAGGAAUCUUCCACAAUGGACGAAAGUCUGAUGGAGCAACACCGCGUGCAGGAUGACGGUCUUCGGAUUGUAAACUGCUUUUAUAUGGGAAGAUUAUGACGGUACCAUAUGAAUAAGGACCGCUAACUACGUGCCAGCAGCCGC